rnacentral:lncRNA from 1 species
CUUCUGAUGUUCCAUUUUCCUUUCCAUCUACCUCUUCUGCUGGCUCAUGAGUCUUACACUAUGAUCUCCUUAGACUACUUUCCAGAACAAGGCCCAUGUGCUCAGAACUGUUCCUGCCACUUGAUCAGUUAUACUUACCCUUCAAGGCCAGUGUCUGUGAGUCAGCUGGCAAGGGUCAGCUAUUCUAAGACCCAGCUCUGUGAACACAACAUGAUCAUCCUCUCAAAUAAACACAGAUUCCUCCAGAGCACCACAGAGGUUUAGAGUAGAAGGGACUUUCAAGGACAUCUGGUUCAACAUCCUGAUUUUACAAAGGAGAAUAUCAAGGCCACAGAGGUGCCUUAUGGGGAUGAUAACUUAGCCAAGGACCUGAGACUUUGAGAGUUGGGCAAUCUGAAGGAGCAGGAAUCAUUUACUUCACUUUUCAACACAAGAUCUGUCUACCACUAUGUGUAUAUGGUCCAUCUUGAAUGAAUUUUUGUGUAUGGUGUGAGGAAGAUUAGCCCUGAGCUAACUACUGCCAAUCCUCCUCUUUUUGCUGAGGAAGACUGGCCCUGAGCUAACAUCCAUGCCCAUCUUCCUCUACUUUAUACGUGGGACUCCUACCACAGCAUGGCUUUUUGCCAAGCAGUACCACAUCUGCACCCAGGAUCCGAACCGGCGAACCAGAGCUGCUGAGAAGAGGAACGUGGGAACUUAACUGCUGCACCACCGGCAAGCCCCAACAGUUGUAUAUUCCGUGACUCUCCAGAGGCACCCAGGAUUCUGAUGCUGUUCAGGGUUCCCACUCCUGUGCUCCCAGGUUAUGCCUCCUCCUCCUAAGAAGACAGUCAUCUUCCUGUUUUCAGGGACCAUAUUUUGUGUGUAUCUAUGGCCCCUGCAUUGCCUUGUGCACUCCGUGAACCUGAUGGGUAUACCCCAACUUUUUAUUGCUCAGUCUUACGUAGUAUUAAGAAAGUAAAACUGAUCCUCAAGUUAGUUUUUAGCAAAGCCACAUAGACACUGGUUGAAGAUGCCAUUGCCACAUGCCGAAAAUCUUUACAAAGUUUUCUGAUCAUCAGACACUGGCCAUUCAAAAUUCACAGAAUAGUCUGUAUGACUGUAGUAUUCAUUUUAUUAAGACAAAGAGAUUAUUUUCUACAUAAUUUGGGGAUUAUCUACAGGAUAGGGAAGAAACAAAACAGGAGAAA